AACGAACGCUGGCGGCAUGCCUAACACAUGCAAGUCGAACGAGACCUUCGGGUCUAGUGGCGCACGGGUGCGUAACGCGUGGGAAUCUGCCCCUUGGUUCGGAAUAACUUCGGGAAACUGAAGCUAAUACCGGAUAAUGACGUAAGUCCAAAGAUUUAUCGCCAAGGGAUGAGCCCGCGUAGGAUUAGCUAGUUGGUGGGGUAAAGGCUCACCAAGGCGACGAUCCUUAGCUGGUCUGAGAGGGAGAUCCCCCCACACUGGUACUGAGACACGGACCAGACUCCUACGGGAGGCAGCAGUGAGGAAUAUUGGACAAUGGGCGCAAGCCUGAUCCAGCCAUGCCGCGUGCAGGAUGACGGUCCUAUGGAUUUGUAAACUGCUUUUGUACAGGAAGAACACUGGUUCGUGAACCAGCUUGACGGUACUGUAAGAAUAAGGAUCGGACUAACUCCGUGCCAGCAGCCG
rnacentral:rRNA from 1 species